rnacentral:rRNA from 1 species
UACGUAGGGGGCUAGCGUUGUCCGGAUUUAUUGGGCGUAAAGAGCGUGUAGGCGGCCAGAUAGGUCUGCUGUGAAAACUCGAGGCUCAACCUCGAGACGUCGGUUGAAACCACCUGGCUAGAGUCCGGAAGAGGAGAGUGGAAUUCCUGGUGUAGCGGUGAAAUGCGCAGAUAUCAGGAAGAACACCCGUGGCGAAGGCGGCUCUCUGGGACGGUACUGACGCUGAGACGCGAAAGCGUGGGGAGCGAACAGG